AAGCACGCUCAAGCAUUAGGUGGUUCAAACAAUCGGUUGAAUCUGAAAAGGGAAGCUGGUGAAAGUCCAGCACGGUCGCGCCACUGUAAUAAGGAGCUACAUGUGAGGAAACCACUGUCCAAAGGAUGGGAAGGUACACAUGGAGUGUUGAUCUUAAGUCAGGAGACCUGCCUAAUGUAUGCACUUGCA
rnacentral:ncRNA from 2 species